UACGUAGGGUGCGAGCGUUAAUCGGAAUUACUGGGCGUAAAGCGUGCGCAGGCGGUUUUGUAAGCCAGAUGUGAAAUCCCCGGGCUUAACCUGGGAAUGGCAUUUGGGACUGCAAGGCUCGAGUGCGGCAGAGGAGACUGGAAUUCCUGGUGUAGCAGUGAGAUGCGUAGAUAUCAGGAGGAACACCGAUGGCGAAGGCAGGUCUCUGGGCUGACACUGACGCUCAUGCACGAAAGCGUGGGGAGCAAACAGG
rnacentral:rRNA from 1 species